rnacentral:tmRNA from 1 species
GGGGAAGCAAAGGUUUCGACGGAGAUUUUUUAGCAUUAUGAAUAGCGGGUAGAGUGGGAACUCUUUAAACAUCACAAACAAUUUUUAAAUGCAGGUAGUAAAGGUAAAUAUGAGGAUAACGUAACGACUGUGAAAUUUGGCAGGAGUAAUGUAUCCGCCGCCGCUUAAGUGCGGACAUCCGUCUGUUCAGGAGUACCACGACCUGAUUUAGGCGUCGAUUAGUGGUGAACGUCUUCUGGGAGCUUUCUCAACCCGGGAGAUGAAAAAGAGAAUAUAGCGGUGGUGUUUUUGUUUGCUUGUGUGCUACCGACUGAAUUAAAUAAAAAACAAACUGCACCCGGAGAAUUUCAUAUGCAAGAGUUUUCGGACAGGGGUUCAACUCCCCUCUUCUCCACCA